CUAUACAUGCAGUCGAACGCUUCCUUUCCUCCCGAGUGCUUGCACUCAAUUGGAAAGAGGAGUGGCGGACGGGUGAGUAACACGUGGGUAACCUACCCAUCAGAGGGGGAUAACACUUGGAAACAGGUGCUAAUACCGCAUAACAGUUUAUGCCGCAUGGCAUAAGAGUGAAAGGCGCUUUCGGGUGUCGCUGAUGGAUGGACCCGCGGUGCAUUAGCUAGUUGGUGAGGUAACGGCUCACCAAGGCCACGAUGCAUAGCCGACCUGAGAGGGUGAUCGGCCACACUGGGACUGAGACACGGCCCAGACUCCUACGGGAGGCAGCAGUAGGGAAUCUUCGGCAAUGGACGAAAGUCUGACCGAGCAACGCCGCGUGAGUGAAGAAGGUUUUCGGAUCGUAAAACUCUGUUGUUAGAGAAGAACAAGGACGUUAGUAACUGAACGUCCCCUGACGGUAUCUAACCAGAAAGCCACGGCUAACUACGUGCCAGCAGCCGCGGUAAUACGUAGGUGGCAAGCGUUGUCCGGAUUUAUUGGGCGUAAAGCGAGCGCAGGCGGUUUCUUAAGUCUGAUGUGAAAGCCCCCGGCUCAACCGGGGAGGGUCAUUGGAAACUGGGAGACUUGAGUGCAGAAGAGGAGAGUGGAAUUCCAUGUGUAGCGGUGAAAUGCGUAGAUAUAUGGAGGAACACCAGUGGCGAAGGCGGCUCUCUGGUCUGUAACUGACGCUGAGGCUCGAAAGCGUGUGGAGCAAACAGGAUUAGAUACCCUGGUAGUCCACGCCGUAAACGAUGAGUGCUAAGUGUUGGAGGGUUUCCGCCCUUCAGUGCUGCAGCAAACGCAUUAAGCACUCCGCCUGGGGAGUACGACCGCAAGGUUGAAACUCACAGGAAUUGACGGGGGCCCGCACAAGCGGUGGAGCAUGUGGUUUAAUUCGAAGCAACGCGAAGAACCUUACCAGGUCUUGACAUCCUUUGACCACUCUAGAGAUAGAGCUUUCCCUUCGGGACAAAUGACAGGUGGUGCAUGGUUGUCGUCAGCUCGUGUCGGGAAAUGUUGGGUUAAUUCCGGA
rnacentral:rRNA from 1 species